CUUAAACGGCCGCGGUACCCUAACCGUGCAAAGGUAGCAUAAUCACUUGUCUUUUAAAUAAAGACUAGUAUGAAAGGCUAAAUGAGGGUUUAACUGUCUCUUACGAUUGGUCAAUGAAAUUGAUUUACCAGUACAAAAGCUGGUAUAAUUACAUAAGACGAGAAGACCCUGUGGAGCUUAAAAAUCAAAACACCACAAUGUCCACUGAAUUUUUAGUUGGGGCGACUUCGGAGUACAAAAAAACCUCCAAAAACUUCUUCACCUAAUAAGAAAUAUACUUCAAAUAGGUAAAAUAGACCCAUAAGUUACCUAUAAACACCUAUGACUAAUAAACCAAGUUACCCCAGGGAUAACAGCGCCAUCCCCUUCUAGAGUCCCUAUCGACAAGGGGGUUUACGACCUCGAUGUUGGAUCAGGACACCCAAAUAGU
rnacentral:rRNA from 1 species